rnacentral:rRNA from 1 species
CGGCGGGGUGCUACCAUGCAGUCGAGCGGAUGAAGGGAGCUUGCUCCUCAUUCAGCGGCGGACGGGUGAGUAAUGCCUAGGAAUCUGCCUGGUAGUGGGGGACAGCGUUUCGAAAGGAACGCUAAUACCGCAUACGUCCUACGGGAGAAACAGGGGACCUUGGGACCUUGCGCUAUCAGAUGAGCCUAUGUCGGAUUAUCUAGUUGGUGAGGUAAUGGCUCACCAGGCGACGAUCCGUAGCUGGUCUGAGAGGAUGAUCAGUCACACUGGAACUGAGACACUGACCAGACUCCUACAGGAGGCCGCAGUGGGGAAUAUUGGACAAUGGGAGAAAGCCUGAUCCAGCCAUGCCGCCUGUGCGAAGAAGGGCUUCGGGUUGUAAAGCACUUUAAGUUGGGAGGAGGGGUUGUAGAUUAAUACUCUGCAAUUUUGACGUUACCGACAUAAUAAGCACCGGCUCACUCUGUGCCAGCAUCCGCGGUAAUACAGAGGGUGCAAGCGUUAAUCGGAAUUACUGGACGUAAAGCGCGCGUAGGUGGUUCGUUAAGUUGGUAUGUGAAAUCCCCGGGCUCAACCUGGGAACUGCAUCCAAAACUGGGAGCUAGAGUAUGGUAGAGGGUGGUGGAAUUUCCUGUGUAGCGGUGAAAUGCGUAGAUAUAGGAAGGAACACCAGUGGCGAAGGCGACCACCUGGACUGAUACUGACACUGAGGUGCUGAAGCGUGGGGAGCAAACAGGAUUAGAUACCCUGGUAGUCCACGCCGU